GGCCCUCGGCAGACGGCUCAGUGACACGUGGAUAAUCUGCCCNUUAGGUGGAGGAUAACCUCGGGAAACUGAGAAUAAUACUCCAUAGAUCUAAGAUGCUGGAAUGUACUUAGAUUGAAAGCUCCGGCGCCUAAGGAUGAGUCUGCGGACUAUCAGGUAGUAGUCAGGGUAAUGACCUGACUAGCCUUCGACGGAUAUGGGUUGUGAGAGCAAUAGCCCAGAGACGAUAUCUGAGACACGAUAUCGGGCCCUACGGGGCGCAGCAGGCGCGAAAACUUCACACUGUGCGAAAGCACGAUGAGGGAAUCCCAAGUGCUGGCUCGUAAGAGUCAGCUGUUUUUCUGUCUAAAAAACAGAGAGAGUAAGAGCUGGGUAAGACGGGUGCCAGCCGCCGCGGUAAUACCUGCAGCUCAAGUGGUGGCCGCUAUUAUUGGGCCUAAAACGUCCGUAGCCGGUUUAGUAAAUGCCUGGGUAAAUUGUGUAGCUUAACUAUACGAAUUCCGGGUAGACUGCUAGACUUGGGACCGGGAGAGGCUAGAGGUACUUCUGGGGUAGAGGUGAAAUUCUGUAAUCCUAGGGGGACCACCAGUGGCGAAGG
rnacentral:rRNA from 1 species